GAUGAAACGCUGGCGGCGUGCCUAAUACAUGCAAGUCGAGCGAACAGACGAGGAGCUUGCUCCUUUGAUGUUAGCGGCGGACGGGUGAGUAACACGUAGGUAACCUACCUAUAAGACUGGGAUAACUUCGGGAAACCGGAGCUAAUACCGGAUAAUAUUUCGAACCGCAUGGUUCGAUAGUGAAAGAUGGCUUUGCUAUCACUUAUAGAUGGACCUGCGCCGUAUUAGCUAGUUGGUAAGGUAACGGCUUACCAAGGCAACGAUACGUAGCCGACCUGAGAGGGUGAUCGGCCACACUGGAACUGAGAUACGGGCCAGACUCCUACGGGAGGCAGCAGUAGGGAAUAUUGGGCAAUGGUCGGAAGACUGACCCAGCCAUGCCGCGUGCAGGAAGAACGGCCCUCUGGGUUGUAAAACUGCUUUUAUCUGGGAGAAAAAGGCCAUGCGUGGCAAAUUGCCGGUACCAGAUGAAUAAAGCACCGGCUAACUCCGUGCCAGCAGCCGC
rnacentral:rRNA from 1 species